AAGAAACCAACAGGGAUUGCCUUAGUAACGGCGAGUGAAGCGGCAACAGCUCAAAUUUGAAAGCUGGCCCUUUUAGGGUCCGCGUUGUAAUUUGUAGAGGAUGAUUCGGCGAGGGCUCCCGCCUAAGUCCCCUGGAACGGGGCGUCAUAGAGGGUGAGAAUCCCGUAUGCGGUGGGCUGCCUUAGCCAUGUGAAUCUCCUUCGACGAGUCGAGUUGUUUGGGAAUGCAGCUCUAAAUGGGAGGUAAAUUUCUUCUAAAGCUAAAUACCGGCCAGAGACCGAUAGCGCACAAGUAGAGUGAUCGAAAGAUGAAAAGCACUUUGGAAAGAGAGUUAAAAAGUACGUGAAAUUGUUGAAAGGGAAGCGCUUGCAACCAGACUUGUCCGCAGUUGCUCAGCCGGUCUCCUGACCGGCGUACUCUUCUGCGGCCAGGCCAGCAUCAGUUCGGGCGGUCGGAUAAAGACCUCGGGAAUGUAGCUCCUCUCGGGGAGUGUUAUAGCCCGGGGUGGAAUGCGGCCAGCCUGGACUGAGGAUCUCGCUUCGGCAAGGAUGCUGGCGUAAUGGUUGUAAGCGGCCCGUCUUGAAACACGGACCAAGGAGUCUAACAUCUAUGCGAGUGUUUGGGUGUCAAACCCAUACGCGUAAUGAAAGUGAACGGAGGUGGGAACCCGCAAGGGCGCACCAUCGGCCGAUCCUGAUGUCUUCGGAUGGAUUUGAGCAAGAGCAUAGCUGUUGGGACCCGAAAGAUGGUGAACUAUGCCUGAAUAGGGUGAAGCCAGAGGAAACUCUGGUGGAGGCUCGCAGCGGUUCUGACGUGCAAAUCGAUCGUCAAAUUUGGGUAUAGGGGCGAAAGACUAAUCGAACCAUCUAGUAGCUGGUUCCUGCCGAAGUUUC
rnacentral:rRNA from 1 species